rnacentral:rRNA from 1 species
CAGUAGCCACGGUAAUACAGAGGGUGCGAGCGUUAAUCGGAUUUACUGGGCGUAAAGCGUGCGUAGGCGGCUUUUUAAGUCGGAUGUGAAAUCCCUGAGCUUAACUUAGGAAUUGCAUUCGAUACUGGGAAGCUAGAGUAUGGGAGAGGAUGGUAGAAUUCCAGGUGUAGCGGUGAAAUGCGUAGAGAUCUGGAGGAAUACCGAUGGCGAAGGCAGCCAUCUGGCCUAAUACUGACGCUGAGGUACGAAAGCAUGGGGAGCAAACAGGAUUAGAUACCCCGGUAGUCCCUGUCUCUUAUAA